rnacentral:rRNA from 1 species
CAGUCGCCACGGGAAUACGUAGGUGGCAAGCGUUGUCCGGAAUUAUUGGGCGUAAAGGGCUCGCAGGCGGUUUCUUAAGUCUGAUGUGAAAGCCCCCGGCUCAACCGGGGAGGGUCAUUGGAAACUGGGAAACUUGAGUGCAGAAGAGGAGAGUGGAAUUCCACGUGUAGCGGCGAAAUGCGUAGAGAUGUGGAGGAACACCAGUGGCGAAGGCGACUCUCUGGUCUGUAACUGACGCUGAGGAGCGAAAGCGUGGGGAGCGAACAGGAUUAGAUACCCCAGUAGUCCCUGUCUCUUAUAC